CGGAGCGUGGCGCAGCCUGGUUAGCGCACUAUACUGGGGGUGUAGGGGUCGCUGGUUCGAAUCCAGUCGCUCCGACCA
rnacentral:tRNA from 1 species